rnacentral:rRNA from 1 species
UCAUGGCUCAGAACGUACGCUGGCGGCACGCCUAACACAUGCAAGUCGAACGAAGUAGCAAUACUUAGUGGCAGACGGGUGAGUAACAUGUAGGUAUCUGCCCUUUGGCCUGGAAUAACACGAGGAAACUUGUGCUAAUACCGGAUAAGUCUUUACGGAGAAAGCUUUAUGCACCAUUGGAUGAGCCUGCACUUGAUUAGUUUGUUGGUGGGGUAAUGGCCUACCAAGACUGUGAUCAAUAGCUGAUUUGAGAGGAUGAUCAGCCACAUUGGGACUGAGACACGGCCCAAACUCCUACGGGAGGCAGCAGUGGGGAAUCUUGCACAAUGGAGGAAACUCUGAUGCAGCGAUGCCGCGUGAGUGAAGAAGGCCCUUGGGUUGUAAAGCUCUUUCGUCGGGGAAGAAAAUGACUGUACCCGAAUAAGAAGGUCCGGCUAACUUCGUGCCAGCAGCCGCGGUAAUACGAAGGGACCUAGCGUAGUUCGGAAUUACUGGGCUUAAAGAGUUCGUAGGUGGUUGAAAAAGUUAGUGGUGAAAUCCCAGAGCUUAACUCUGGAACUGCCAUUAAAACUUUUCAGCUAGAGUAUGAUAGAGGAAAGCAGAAUUUCUAGUGUAGAGGUGAAAUUCGUAGAUAUUAGAAAGAAUACCAAUUGCGAAGGCAGCUUUCUGGAUCAUUACUGACACUGAGGAACGAAAGCAUGGGUAGCGAAGAGGAUUAGAUACCCUCGUAGUCCAUGCCGUAAACGAUGUGUGUUAGACGUUGGAAAUUUAUUUUCAGUGUCGCAGGGAAACCGAUAAACACACCGCCUGGGGAGUACGACCGCAAGGUUAAAACUCAAAUGAAUUGACGGGGACCCGCACAAGUAGUGGAGCAUGUGGUUUAAUUCGAAGAUACGCGCAGAACCUUACCAACACUUGACAUGUUCGUCGCGACUCUAAGAGAUUAGAGUUUUCGGUUCGGCCGGACGAAACACAGGUGCUGCAUGGCUGUCGUCAGCUCGUGUCGUGAGAUGUUGGGUUAAGUCCCGCAACGAGCGCAACCCUCACUUUUAGUUGCCAUCAUUAAGUUGGGCACUCUGAAAGAACUGCCAGUGAUAAGCUGGAGGAAGGUGGGGAUGACGUCAAGUCCUCAUGGCCCUUACGUGUUGGGCUACACACGUGCUACAAUGGUAUCUACAACAGGAAGCAAGACUGCGAAGUUAAGCAAAUCCCUAAAAGAUACCUCAGUUCGGAUUGCACUCUGCAACUCGAGUGCAUGAAGCUGGAAUUACUAGUAAUCGUGGAUCAGCGUGCCACGGUGAAUGCGUUCCCGGGUCUUGUACACACCGCCCGUCACACCAUGGGAGUUGGUUCUACCUUAAGGCAAGGUUUCAAACCCUUGACCACGGUAUAGUCAGCGACUGGGGU